CACGUAGGGCGCAAGCGUUGUCCGGAAUUACUGGGCGUAAAGCGUGCGCAGGCGGUUUUGUAAGUCAGAUGUGAAAUCCCCGGGCUUAACCUGGGAACUGCGUUUGAAACUACAAGGCUAGAGUGUGGCAGAGGGGGGGUAGAAUUCCACGUGUAGCAGUGAAAUGCGUAGAUAUGUGGAGGAACACCGAUGGCGAAGGCAGCCCCCUGGGUCAAGACUGACGCUCAUGCACGAAAGCGUGGGGAGCAAACAGG
rnacentral:rRNA from 1 species